CCUGGCUGCCUGACUUGCACAGCCAAGCCCUGUGUGAACACAGGGGCUAAGGCUGUGUGAUCACCUGUAACACUUCGUGCUCAAACCUGAGAUCCAGGUGCUAUAGUCAGCUCCUCAGUCAUCUGUUUAAAGGUCUGAGCGCCUUCACUGAUUGUGGAAGUUACAGGGAGUUGUUUUCUCCCACCUAGAGGUGUGUCGUUCAUUGUUGCCACUGAAGACCAGGCUGCAGGUGCCCAGGAAAGCGAUGGAGUCACCAUCCCUGGUGGUGGUCAAGAACCAUGUGGAUGUGGCACUGAGGAACAUGAAGAGCCUGGAUUGCAGAUGCCAAGAAAUAUGGUAACAGCAGCAUUUCUCACAAACUUUGCCUGUUUUGUGAAGUGUUGGCCGUGACACCUGAUUAUGCGACUGCCCACUGUGUAGGAGUUACAAGGUCAGCAUGAACUAAACAAAGGAAAACCGUGGUCUCACCCAAUAUACAGCCCACAGCAAACACAGAGUGUGCGGGGAGUAAUGAGUUUGCAUGAUAAGAGUAUAAUCGUUGUUUUGGGUGCUGUUGUCCUUGAAAACUGCUUUAGAAGCUUUUCCCAUCAGGUAGCAUCAGCUGUGAGUGAGAGCAGCCUCCUUAGAAACUGCUAUUUUAUCCUGCUCACCUGCAGACAUAGGCUCUGAGCCUUCAGUACCUGUUCUCCAACUUCAGACAUGACAGCCAGAUGUUUUCUCUCCCCACCCAGACUGCUGGCAGCACACAUACCUCAGUUGGUAAAGCUUUAAGACGUCCAUCAGUCUCAUGGGAUCUCUGGUAAACACCGAGUAGAUUCCCUGGAGUGCUUCAUCAAGAUCAAGUGCAGCAAAAGACUCAGUGCUGUCUCAUUCUCUGCCCAGCCUUGGGCACAGAUUUGAGCAACAUGAGAGCUGCUGUGACCCAUGUCAUCUGGCAGUGGUCCCCAAGAGCUUGUUUACACAGGAUAUUUUUUCACGAGAAUGUAAUUACACCGCUGAAACUACAUGAGCGUGAAAACUUUGCACGUGUAGCAGAGUUAAGCCAGGACUUCUGCGUUAGCCAGGGCUCGAUUCUGCAAGGUGCAGAGCGCAGGUGUGAGGCACUGACUGUCCCUUGUUCCCUGCCAUCAGCGGCCCAGGAGAACAGUCAUUGUCCUUCAGGAAUGCUUGACAUCAUUCGGAAAUGCUGAGCACCUUCCAGGACUGGAACUACUGGGAUGAACAGGGCAGAAACAGGCUCAUGCUUUGCAUUUGGCCCAGGCUAUGCUUUUAAAGGACAUGAGGAAGUUCUUUAUUCUGGACUACGAGCCUGCUCUUGCUUUGACUGAAGCAAGUGGAUUUUGUUUCUGUACUUUGAUGUAGAGAGUAGAGAUUGAUUUUCAUCAGCUUGUGGCUGUUGAGUAGCAAGUCAGGCAGUCUGGCUGCUCCACAGCAUCACAGGCAGGCUGAGCCACAAACACAGCAUCAUCAUUUUUUUUCACACCUUCCUCUGCUCACCUUCAUCAAACAGCUCCUCUUCAUUAAAGCAGUUCCUCCGCUUCUCUGCUCGCUUUACAUGUUAUGACACUGCUGUGAAGCACAGAAUUCACUGAAGCCUUAGAGAGAAAUAGAUAAAUGAGACAUCUUGAGCCAUCACUACAGAGAGAGAAAAGGAGGACAUGGUGCUGAUUUCAGCAAACACUCAUGUUUCCACAACACUUACUCACUGUUAGGCUACUCCACAAACCUUUUAUGUAAAGAAAAUUUGCAAGAAUAGCAACGAAGAUGACAUAAUGAAUGAAGUGAGCAGUUAUUUUUGGCUGCCCCCAAUUUGGGUGACAUUGAGUUUGGCCACAGCACCUGCCAUGAUGGCUUGAUAAGGUCUGAAAUAGUGCCUGAAUAAUAAAUGAGGCUCACAUCUGGUAAAAUUCAGUGUUUGAGGUUUUUUUUUUUAAUGUUCUUUUAUCAUGUUCCUGUUGCUUGACUUUAUCUGAAGGGAUUAUGUUUAGAGAGCAUACAUAGACAAAUAGAUAUGCUAAUAAAAAAUGCUAUAGUUGAUAAGGUACAGGCAACACGGAGCAUUCAGUGCAGGCUACAACCAGCUCCAGACUAAAAAUGGUUACUAACGUAACUGAAAUUUGUACUUUGGUCAUUAAAAAACACAGAUAACAAAUGAGUAAAUGAUCCUUUUGACUGGUUUACUUUCAGGAGGCUAGAUUAUAUUUGUCAGUGUAGAUCAAGAGAAUGGUGAAAGAAGGGAAAUAAAAGGAGUUGCGCUUUCUAUUCUAGUAACUAGAAUGAGGGGUCGAGGGGGAAAUGCAGGUUUCAAUCUGAUAAAUAAGUGCAUGAUAUAUGCCGGGCUUAUGGCAGUGUUGUUGCAGGCCAGGAGAGCUCGGGAGGGACGUGUAUUUCUAAGCCCUGUGAGACUGGCAGUUCUCACUCUUAAUCCAGUUCCCAUCUUCUCUGCUAGUGGAGAGAGUACCCACGUUCAGAGGCUUUGACAGGACUCAGCAUCCAACAGCAUCUGAUGGAUCACCUAUUACAGUCUGAAGACUUUAAAUCUGUCCAAGAGUGGUUUCCAAAGCUCAGAAUGAACGAUUUUGUAAUCAGCAACCUGACUUCCAGAGCUGCUUGAUAGUACAAAAUCUCAUUAAAGAUAAAAGACUAAAAGAAAAGUAAGCCUUCCAAACAAUUUUCCAAUUAAAAUUGACUUUUCUGGGGGGAAACAGAACAAACCAACAAAAAACUGGUUAUCUGGAAAGUUGAUACUCUAAUUUCUCAAAUGCAGAAUCCUGAAACACCUGGUAUCACCAACUCCCAGCAAGAAGCAGCAUUACUGAACACUGUGGCAGAAGCCUGGAUUCUAGAAAGAUCAGGGAAAAAGAAGAAACUGCAGUAGAAACAUUUGGCUUGUCACAAUUGUUAUAUGGCACCGUAGCUGCAACUUCGUAAUGUGCAAUAAAACUGACAUGACGAGUUUUCUUUGAAAAGCACUUUGGUUCUGGAAUAAAAUCACAUGCAUCAAAAAUAUGGCAUAGCCUUCUGUAUUGCAUAAUGUAUUGCAUAAGAGAAAAUAGAGAAUAGCUGUU
ensembl:lncRNA